ensembl:lncRNA
UUCCUUCUCCCGACUGGGUGGGUCGAUCGGGCACAGAGCCUCUCCACAUCCCACCCACCCCACACUGGCAUCCCCAAAACGACUUCCCGGAGAGAGACCCUGGCGGCUUCUUGGCCGCCCAAGCCCGGAAUGGUUUCAUUAGCAGACUAGGGAGCUUCGCGGAGAAUGCGGUUCCGCGCUGCCAGCACACGCCCCCAAACGAUGAUCGCAAAGAAAAAAAAAAGUUAGGUUCCUGUGGCUUUCCCGUCCUACCCCCUAUAUUCCCUCCCUCUCCCUUCCUCUUUCUUUCUUUUUUUUUUUUUAACAGAGAUAUAGCCUCUACCCACCUGCUGUUAUCCUCGAGUGAGAGGAGGGUCCAGGGACCAUUCAAGAUUCUUCACGUCCUACUCAAACACCAAGUCUUUUCAGCAAUGGGUUGCCUCAUGGCCAGACACAGGUCCAAAGUGCAUACAAGGUCGAUUGGAAUGCCUUCGGAAUCAGAUUCAAACCGCUGACAGAAAUCAUCAUGAUCCAGGACCACUUCCCUUCCCAAAAAAUUUGUGGACAACUAAAAUAGAAGCAAUUGAAAAUCAUAAGGAAUAUUACUGGUGGAGGUGGCUAUUAUUGUUGUUGUUGUUAUUGUUAUUUUUAAUAGAGUUGUCCAGGCUUGCUGACUACUCAUUUAGCCUCACAAAAUCUGACCAUUUAAGAAAGGCCAAGUCUGUCAGACAUGCCAGGAAUGUAUUUAUAAAUUCUUCAUGCUGUGUUUUCAUUUGCAGCUGCCGUUUGUGUUUCAUAUUGUAAGGUCAAAGCCACUCCAGUUAUUAAAUCUUUUCUAUAAUGCUAUAAGUCACCUAUCUAGUCUGAGACUAAGCUAAUUUCAGCCACAUCAGACAACAUAUGAUGCUGUUAAGAAAAGACUGAACAUGCUCAGAAAGCAAGCAGAUUUAGCGCAAACCUGUGGCACGGUGAUGGAGAUUUUUUCCUUAUACUUGGUCAGAAGAUCCAGUCUGGAAAAUGGUAGAAAAGGUACCUAUCUAAUCUCUACCCAAAUUUCCUAUUAAAAAACUAUAACAUAAUGCCUCAGAAUGAAUUCUGAGUAGCACAAACCACAAAAAGAUGAAGUGAAGUAAUUUUUCAACCCAAAACAACUUGAGAGGCCAGCACAAAGGAUCUAGUACACUGGAGUGAGGUUAAGUGCAAAGCGACGGACUAGGGCAGGCCCCAUUACAAUGGACCCUAGGCUCAGCUAAAGCAGUAGCAAACGUUUCAGGAACUCUCAGCCACAGAUGGUAAGAGGUAUAGGACAACUGCUCCAAAAGAUAUUACUGGUUCUGGGCACAAGACUCUUGUUGCACUGCCCAUACAUAGGUCCAAUAAGCAAUCCUGGGCCAUGUUCUCAGAGGAAGGAGGAGUACUAUCACACACCAGCACUUGAGGCCACAGGAGAGGAGACCCUGAUCACAGUUCCAAGGGGUAAAAAAGUACUUGUGGUUACCUCCAGAGUAGAGCACAAGCCUGGAGAAUAUUAAACACACCUUUUCUUACAUCAUAUCACCUUAGAGGAACUAAAAGCAGAUAGAUCCCCAGAGAUAGCACUGAAG